AUACUCUGACUGUUGAAACUUGUUUGCGCCGCAAAGAGUUUGUUCUUUUCCUGUUCAGUGAGGUCGUAUUUAUAUGUGCAAACUGAAAUUUAGUAGUACUUCAACUACAUUUGCACAAAAUUUUCAAUUCUGCCAAUGAGCGGUCAACAUUUAUUUGCUAGGAAAAAUGACUCACACCGGGUUAUCAUUCUUGUAAAAGUAUUCUACUUCAACCUUGCGGUCGUGGCUUUGCACACAACCCUCCUGUGAUUUUUUUAUUUUAUUUAGCGAUUUCUUUAUAUGUGUUCUAGGUUUUCGUUUGACAUUUUCCGUUCUUUUUUGUUUCUUUUUGUAAUUUCGCAAUAUUGAAACAACUGAAAGUCGUAUUUUAUUUACUAGAAAAUAAAUUAUUUUUUCAAAUGUCUAUUCCAAACAUCAUCCCGCCUGCAAAAGGACUAGCAGCGCCACAAGUAUUUUCACUAUCACUACCAUACGUGAACUUCCGCUUGUUAUUGGUCACAUAGGAAUGCUAUCAUUUGACAAUGCAGGCAAAGCCAUUACGGAAAGGCUGCUGACGAAAGAACAGUUACGGAUGUAGUAUAUGAUGAUGUCACUACCAUUUAUCGACUAGGAAUGCUUGAAAAAAAAAUCUGAUUUGUAACGCUAGGGAAGUUCAGCGGUCAGAAGAGCACUCUUGGUGGUGUAUCACUUUAGAUGACUAGAAUUACCCUACAGUGCAGCAGUAUCUCUCCGGAAACGUGCUGUGGCUGACAAUGGCAUUGAAAAUAGUUUCACGUUCUAACGAUACCGGCCCUGGAAUGGGUACCGAUAUAUAAGAGAAAUAUCAUUUCGAGUUAAAUUUAAAGCGAUCAAUGCUGUAUGAUAGUGGUGAUCAAAAAUCUUACGAAAUUGAUAAAUAUAAUUUUAUUCAUCAGAAAACUUGAUAUUUUAAGUAGAGAUUUUAAACCUACUUAAGUUCAAUAGUUCACAUCGAACUCAACAAGAGUAAUGAUGCAAUAAUGAAAACGUACGUGAAAUAGAAUCUACAAUGCCAUAUGUAUCGGAAAAUUGCCAAUAUUGCUUCCAGGUUUGUGCUUUUCGUUCUCCAAGUGCUAUAGUACCUGGUGCACGUGUUAACACUUUUGCUGCUUCUCCCGGUCAACCCCGUAACAACUACCGCCUCAGCUGAUGCACUUUGGUGGAACAGGAAACUAUCGUGGC